rnacentral:rRNA from 1 species
UACAGAGGUCCCAAGCGUUGUUCGGAUUCACUGGGCGUAAAGGGUGCGUAGGCGGUCGGGUAAGUCUGAUGUGAAAUCUCCAAGCCUAACUUGGAAACUGCAUUGGAUACUAUCCGGCUAGAGGAAUGGAGGGGAGACUGGAAUACUUGGUGUAGCAGUGAAAUGCGUAGAUAUCAAGUGGAACACCAGUGGCGAAGGCGAGUCUCUGGACAUUUUCCUGACGCUGAGGCACGAAAGCCAGGGGAGCAAACGGG